rnacentral:misc_RNA from 1 species
GAUGAAGAACGCAGCGAAAUGCGGUAAGUAGUGUGAAUUGCAGAAUUCAGUGAAUCAUCGAAUCUUUGAACGCACAUUGCGCCCCUUGGUAUUCCAUGGGGCAUGCCUGUUCGAGCGUCAUUUGUACCUUCAAGCUUUGCUUGGUGUUGGGUGUUUGUCUCGCCUUUGCGUGUAGACUCGCCUUAAAAUAAUUGGCAGCCGGCGUAUUGAUUUCGGAGCGCAGUACAUCUCGCGCUUUGCACUCAUAACGACAGCGUCCAAAAGUACAUUUUACACUCUUGACCUCGGAUCAGGUAGGGAUACCCGCUGAACUUAAGCAUAUCAAUAAGCGGAGGA